CUAUUUAUGGGUGUUGAUCCCUCUUACCA
rnacentral:tRNA from 1 species